rnacentral:misc_RNA from 1 species
UCUUUUUUUUUUUUUUUUCUCUUUAAGGGAGCGGGUGAGCAAAAUGCUACACCUAAAAAUUAACUAUUCAACAAGGAAUGGAUGAAAUUUUUUUACGAUAAAUUAUAUUAUUUUCCAAAUAUUUCAUAUGUUAAACGAUCAAUUAAAUAGCUCAUCCUAGCCUAUCGUCUGCAAAAGAAUACUUGACCAUGGCCAGACAAAAUGAAACUCACAAUAACACCUAAAAUUCUGCAUUCUGUCAGCUAGUAUCAAGAUUUGCACAUACUUUUUCACCUUGUUCAG